CCCAAACUAAAUCUUACAUAUCAAAAACACAAAAAACAUAUCAAUUCUCCAAAGCAAAUUUACAAUUCACAUAUUGACAAAAUCAGAAAUUCAAGAAAGCCUCAAAAAAACCAACAGGUUAUAGAAGCAGACGAAUUCAACCAUUCAAAAAUCACAAAUCACAGGUUUUGAGUUUCAUAAAUUCAUACAUUCCCCGUUCACAAAGGCUGAAAUCAUAAUUAGUCGACCGGAGUCGCUGGUCAGGAAGAAAAAUUUAAAAUUGUUAAUGUACUAACCUUAUUACUAAGAUUAGGGUCUGAACUGCAAUUGGCGAUUUGACUGUGGACUACAGGAAGCAAGUAGCAAUGACGAUAGGAGGGAGCAAGCUGAAUCCUUCGCUGUUUUCCCUUUCCAAUCAUUUGCGAUUUUGCUGAUUGCGAUUUUUCCUUUCCAAUCCUUGAAUCGAUGGCAGGAGGAAGUCAGCGACAGGUUUUUCAGUCAUGUUCCUUUUAAAUUAACAAAUCAAAAAAUUUAAUUGGAUAGCUUGAUUCUAACAGGAUAUAAAUUAUGUGAGUUAGUAAAAUAAGUUUCGAUUGUCAAAAAUAAAUUCAGUUGCGACAUAUAGCCAGCAAGUUUUCAAUCACAUAUGCAUAGCCACCCUUUAUAACUAAUAUACACUGUACACAAAACUAAAA
rnacentral:lncRNA from 1 species